GCGAGCCCUUCUCUCGUCUCUCUCUCUCUCUCUCUCUCUCCUCCCCUUCUUCUGCUACGUUUUGUUGCACCGCGGAGAGAGGGGACGGCCACUACGAGGGUGGUAUGGGUGGAGGAGGAUGGGGAGCGGUGGGGCCCGUUCCGGUCUUCCCGGCCAAUCCAGCGGGUCCACGUGUCCCCUUUGACCCGCCCAAAGCGAGCUGUUGUCGUUUGUUUCUCAU
rnacentral:lncRNA from 1 species